UGCAAGUGAUGUCUUUUCUCACGAUGGUCUUCUGAGCCUUUGUGGUUUUGAGGAUAACGCCUUAUGGCUAUGCUGAUGCAGUUUU
ensembl:snoRNA Small nucleolar RNA SNORD35